rnacentral:lncRNA from 1 species
AAUAAUUAAUAAUUCUAUUACUUAGUUAUACAUCGGAGGUUAGUUAAUUACUAAAACCACCUAAUAAUUAUUAUUAUUUUUUGGAGGUUUUGUGCUGCUUCCCGGUGUUGUCUCGCUUUAGAUGGGAACUUAUAUUAUUCAUCGUCAGACUUCAUUUGAAUUGCUUUAGCACUAUACAUCCCAACUUUUUGUUGUGUGCCCC